ACCACAGAUGCAGAGAAUGAUUUCAGAACUGUUGAAGGACAAACUGUCAGUCUGCCCUGCCACUCACCCCCUAAUGACAGCGUACAAGUUUCUGUAGAGUGGACAAAACAUAGUGCAAGCAACACACCUAUUUGUAAAUGGAAUAUUAAUAACAUUACUGGAUCUAUCAUUGGAGAAUGCAUUCCUCGUUUCAAAUUCAACAAAAAGUCUUUUACACUAAGUAUAGAAAAUGUUCAGCUCAGUGACUCUGGUAAUUACAGCUGUAAAACAACAAUAUUAAUUCCACCACCAUCACAAGGCGAUACCACAAAUGUGACACUCCAAGUUGAAGCUCGUCCACGUCUGCAGAAACUGGACAGCAGUAAUGGCACCUGUAUCCAUCUGCUCUGCUCUAUGGAGGAUCUGACCACUGAGUUGGUGAACUUCACCUGGAGCCAAGAGGGUCAUGGGUCACUUCAUCCAUUCACAUCUUAUCCCAUGAAGAGCGAGCUGCGUCUGUGUAAACCUGACUGGAGUGACGGAGACACAAUCACCUGUUACGCCAAUUACUCAAGCACACAAACCCAAAGAAGUAUUAAAGUACAGCACAUCUACUCUCAGUAUUGAUAAUGAUAAUAAAUGUUUCUUCAGCACGAAAUCAAGAUAUUAGAAUGAUUUCUGAAGGAUCAUGUGACAAUGAAGACGAGAGUGAUGCAGCUGAAAAUUCAGUUUUUCCAUCACAGGAAUAAAUUACAUUUUAGAAUGUAUUGAAUAAGAAAACAGUCAUUUUAAAUUGUAAUAUUUCAUGAUAUUACUGUUUUACUGUACUUUGUUUGAUCAAAUAAGAAAAAAAAAAAAAAAGAAUCCUAACAACUCCAAUCUUUUUGAACAAUAGUGUAAAUAUUUACUCUUCUGCUAGGUCCUAAAUAUUGGGUAGUUCAGAAACUGGAGUCAAAGAGCUAUUAUAGCUCCAUCUAUGAAUUUGGGAACAUUUCAUAUGGAUUGGCCUGGAAUUGUUGGGAAAGUGGAUGCAGCUUUUGAACUCAAUGGUAAUGGACUGUAUCAUUUUCUACCAGUGUUCUCUGUGAAACAUUUUCCCUGGAAUUACAUGCAUGUUUUAGUUUUUUUCUCAACAGGACAUGUUUUUAAAAGAUGUUUGCUACACAUUAUGAACACAAAUGCUUGGUUUGGUAAAAGAUAUGUUCACAAGAAACACAGGAAGGAAUUCUGUCAUUGACUAUUGUGCCUCAUAU
rnacentral:lncRNA from 1 species